AUUGAACGCUGGCGGCAUGCUUUACACAUGCAAGUCGAACGGUAACAGGGAGCUUGCUCCGCUGACGAGUGGCGAACGGGUGAGUAAUAUAUCGGAACGUACCCAAGAGUGGGGGAUAACGUAGCGAAAGUUACGCUAAUACCGCAUACGAUCCAAGGAUGAAAGCAGGGGAACGCAAGGCCUUGUGCUCCUGGAGCGGCCGAUAUCUGAUUAGCUAGUUGGUAGGGUAAAGGCCUACCAAGGCAUCGAUCAGUAGCUGGUCUGAGAGGACGACCAGCCAAACUGGAACUGAGACACGGUCCAGACUCCUACGGGAGGCAGCAGUGGGGAAUUUUGGACAAUGGGCGCAAGCCUGAUCCAGCAAUGCCGCGUGAGUGAAGAAGGCCUUCGGGUUGUAAAGCUCUUUUGUCAGGGAAGAAACGGGCGUGGCUAAUAUCCAUGUCUAAUGACGGUACCUGAAGAAUAAGCACCGGCUAACUACGUGCCAGCCGCCGCCGUAAUAC
rnacentral:rRNA from 1 species